AGGUAACUAGGAAGGAGUCUAGCCUGAAGGCAGGCGAUAUCUUGGGUAACCUGUACAUCUUUAGAAUUCCAGAUUUACACCUCAUUUCCACAGUCAAUGUAUUGCCAUGUGAUAUUGAUGAAAUCUACUGCUCUCCUCAGAAGAAAUGGGUCUUACUGAGUAAGAAACAGCCAUAUAUUUUGCCAAAGGUGUUUUACAUGAGCAGCCUACUGAGGACAUCAGAAUUCUCUGCCCCUGUGUCUACCCUUCUGGAAAUUUCCUUAUGUCAAGAAGCCUUCUGGACCCCAAGAAGGGAAGACAGGCUAACCCUGAUGUCCAGAAGUGGUUGCUCCAAAAUCACAAAGUUUGAAACAUAUGAUAUGAAGCUGGAAGAGUUUGGGAACAAAAUUAUUGUUAAAGGACCCCGUUCAUGUCAUCGUCUCCUGUAAUGAUGGCUCUUUGGAUGUAUAUGCAUGGGAGGAGAGAAGCCUGCUGCUUAGGAAGUGUUAUCGACUGAAAAACAGGAGACAUCUGUCACCGAGAGGCUUCAUUAACAAAACGCUAUGUGAUGAUGUGAGCAUAAUUCAGUUGAUGAUAGAUGGUCAUGACACCUGGUUUCUGAUGGCAUAUGCCUUGAAUAUCUGCUCUUGAAAACUUAGCAGUUUGUGUGUCCUCUUCCUCAAUGAUAAUAAAGGUCUAUUUGC
ensembl:lincRNA